GCAGGUGUGGCGGAAUGGCAGACGCAUCAGACUCAAAAUCUGACGAGGGUAACCUUGUGUGGGUUCAAGUCCCACCACCUGCA
rnacentral:tRNA from 1 species